AUUGAACGCUGGCGGCAUGCCUUACACAUGCAAGUCGAACGGCAGCACGGGAGCAAUCCUGGUGGCGAGUGGCGAACGGGUGAGUAAUAUAUCGGAACGUGCCCAGUAGUGGGGGAUAACCCGGCGAAAGUCGGACUAAUACCGCAUACGACCUACGGGUGAAAGCGGGGGAGUCGCAAGACCUCGCGCUAUCGGAGCGGCCGAUAUCAGACUAGCUUGUUGGUGGGGUAAAAGGCCUACCAAGGCGACGAUCUGUAGCUGGUCUGAGAGGACGACCAGCCACACUGGGACUGAGACACGGCCCAGACUCCUACGGGAGGCAGCAGUGGGGAA
rnacentral:rRNA from 1 species